GACGAACCGUGCGAACGUUAUUCGGAAUUACUGGGCGUAAAGCGUGCGCAGGCGGUUGUGCAAGACCGAUGUGAAAUCCCCGGGCUCAACCUGGGAAUGGCAUUGGUGACUGCACGGCUAGAGUGUGUCAGAGGGGGGUAGAAUUCCACGUGUAGCAGUGAAAUGCGUAGAGAUGUGGAGGAAUACCGAUGGCGAAGGCAGCCCCCUGGGAUAACACUGACGCUCAUGCACGAAAGCGUGGGGAGCAAACAGGG
rnacentral:rRNA from 1 species